GACGAACGCUGGCGGCGUGCCUAACACAUGCAAGUCGUACGGGAUUUGGGGGCAACUCCAAGUUCAGUGGCAGACGGGUGCGUAACACGUGAAGAACUUGUCCGGUGGCGGGGGAUAGCCGGCCCAACGGCCGGGUAAUACCGCAUACGCUCGGGUGGGGGCAUCCCUGUACGAGGAAAGCAGUCGCAAGGUUGCGCCGACAGAGAGCUUCGCGGCCUAUCAGCUAGUUGGCGGGGUAACGGCCCACCAAGGCGACAACGGGUAGCUGGUCUGAGAGGAUGAUCAGCCACAUUGGGACUGAGACACGGCCCAGACUCCUACAGGAGGCAGCAGUGGGGAAUCUUGCGCAAUGGCCGAAAGGCUGACGCAGCGACGCCGCGUGUGGGAUGAAGGUCUUCGGAUUGUAAACCACUGUCGGGAGGGACGAAGCUCUGACGGUACCUCCAAAGGAAGCACCGGCUAACUCCGUGCCAGCCGCCGCGGUAAAAC
rnacentral:rRNA from 1 species